rnacentral:lncRNA from 1 species
ACAUUGACUCUGGUUCUUGGGAGCGAGCUCGGGGGGUCUGCCCCGCUGCACCUUGAGGAUCACCCAGGCUGCUCCUCAGCUCCUUCCCAGCUGGGACACUCCAGGCAGGGAGCUGGGGCCACCCUGCACAUCCAGGGGAGCCUCUCCAAGGCAAGGAGCAGGAAACUCUCCCAGCUGAAAUCUAAUCCUACCUUGGUUAACAUAACAGAGAGAACAGGAAGCGCUGUGAAGGAAUUUUUCAUUCCCUGGGACGUCUUUGAUCCCGCUCCCCUCCCUUUUCCUAUCAGAUCCCUUUCGGUGCCUUUCUCCAUAGGGAAUUCCUGGCUCUGUGCAAGGAGCUCAGACACCUUUCCCAGGAGAAAACUCCAGCAGGGCCUGAAAGGGAAAUGCCAGCAAGCUGGAGCAGGACCAUUCCCAUGGGGAUGCACAGGGGACAUCUCUGUGACUCAGCCCAAAAUGUCACCUGCCACUGAAUAUCUUGAGCCUUUUUCCUUCUUCUUUUGUAUUUGCUUGCAGGGAACACGGCAGGGGAUGGUCCCAGUACUGUGUGUGUUUCUCUUCACCAGCCAAAGAGAAAAAAGUCUUGCAGUUCUUCAUCUCUGCCUUGGAUUUGCUGCCACGGAUUGUCCGUGAAUCCUUUUGGGAAGGGGCAGACUGGCUGGUGAGCCCAGCUGGGAGCAGCAUCCUGCAUCCCUCACAGCUCUCCAGCAGCUUUACACCCAUCCCAAGCAUGGCAGGCAGCCUGGAUGGAGCCAAUCCUCCUCUGGAGGAGGAUCCUGAGGGCUGUCUCUUAAUUGCACUCCAUAAUCACUCCUCUAUUUCUGUCUUUCCAAAUCCUGCUGGCAGUGUCAAGGCCCAUUUUGGGCAUGGCAGUAAACAGCAGUUGUUUUUCCCUCUCAGUGUUGCUACCCCAGAGAAGAGGAGUGACAAGGGUGAGUCACCAUGGCAUUUGGCAAAACAUCCCGGGAAAAGUGUUUGUCUGGAAAGCUGAGGAGCCUUGACCCAGGAGAGGUGACAGGAUCCUUCAGAGCCUCUCGAAACCUGUAGGAAUGGAAUAUUCCAGGGCAAGUGGAGAGAGAUAAGGAGCAGAGAGCAGCUGACUCCCGAGCUGUGGAGUGCUCCACUCCUGCCUGGGAGAUAUUAGCAGCUGUAUCAGGUUGCACAUCUG